UACGGAGGGUGCAAGCGUUAUCCGGAUUCACUGGGUUUAAAGGGUGCGUAGGUGGGCAGGUAAGUCAGUGGUGAAAUCCCCGAGCUUAACUUGGGAACUGCCAUUGAUACUAUUUGUCUUGAAUACUGUGGAGGUUAGCGGAAUAUGUCAUGUAGCGGUGAAAUGCUUAGAUAUGACACAGAACACCGAUUGCGAAGGCAGCUCACUAAUCAUAACUGACGCUGAUGCACGAAAGCGUGGGGAGCAAACAGG
rnacentral:rRNA from 1 species